ACCAUUUGAUUUUUAUGGGGGGGGGGCUAGGAUUAAAUUUGGAAAAAAUAGGCAGGACAGGAAUUUUGAGUAAAAAAAAAAGGCAGGAUGAGACACUUGCAAAAAAAAAAAGUCAGGAUGACAAUUUAGGUAAAAAAAGUCAGGAUAAACUAAAAAAAAAAGGCAGGACCGAAUAGAGUGAAAAAUAAAAAGGCAGGACAGAGAUUACAAUUAAAAAAAAAUGCAGGACAAAAUUUUUCAUCCUAGGCCCCCCCA
rnacentral:lncRNA from 1 species